GUUGCAGAGAUGCCUUUGAAAAAGCGGAAGGGCACGGAGGUUUCGGCCUCGUUGUUGGCGCCUGCGUAGUAUCAUGGGAACGUGGCGGGGCGGUGAGUGACGUGAGGGGGCGUGACGGCCAGGCCGGGAGGAGUUGCCAGCGCGGGAGAAAAGGGACUCAGCAGAUUCACAUCACAAGGAAUACUAAAGGACAUUCUCCACACUGAAGGAAAUGAUCUUAAAGAGAAACACAGGUCCGUAAGAAGAAAUGAAGAGCACUGGUAAAGGAACCCCAGGAAGACCACCAUGGGAAGCAGCAGGAGCAUCAUGGGCUGGAAGAUGAGACCUCAGCUAUCCCCGCUGUCCCAGCUGUGGUCUAGACUGUCAGUGAAGCCACCUUGCCCCAGUCAGGACAACUAAGACCUAAAGAAUCAUCGGGCUAACUCACAGAAUUAUAAGAAACAAUAAUCAUUUUUUAAAAAUCAUUAAGUUUGGGGGCGAUUUGUUAUAUUCACAGUAAGUAUUAAUAAAACAGCAAAGAGAAAACUCAUGGACCAACAAGAGCUGUGGGAGGUUCUAAGGUAUAGCGUCCCUGGUACCUUGACUUGGCCAUUUUUUUCUCAGUUUCACUGGAAAGUUUCUACGUGAAGAUUCCUCGAUGGAAGCCUCAAUAUAACUUUUAAAACUUCACUAAAUCCUCUGGAUGUCAAGAAACAUUCUGCUUGAGUUCUCUUUGCUCUCUCAAAAACUUAUCUUUUAAUGAACAAGCCUGAAAAAAUUCACGGUUUAUGAAUGCCACUUACUUUAAGUAGUUCAUACAUAUAAAACCGGAUAUCAAAGUCUGUCAGGAUCUGGUAGAGUUGCUGAAACAGAUUCCAAAAAACAGAAAGUUAAUUUAGUCUCAUUGCAUCUUGUCAUCCCAAGUGCGGGCCAUUCUCUAAGCUUACUUGAUACUUAAGUGACUAAGGAAUCCCAUGACUUUUUUACUCCGUGAUCUGAAAUAAAUGGGAGCAAAGUCUAAAGAUGAAGGUGUAAUAUUUCAAUCAUAGAAUAGAAGAAAAAAAAAGGAAGGAAUUCCAAGGGAGAAAAACCAUUUAAGUCAACUCAGAUCUUUCCUAUUUAAUGCUCUGUGAUUUUUGCCAAUUACAAUCAUUAACCACAAUUACACCAUGUGAAGUCUAAGUUGUCUGUCUUCACAUUCUUACUGUAAAGAAAUCUAGGCCGGUCGCGGUGGCUCAAGCCUGUAAUCCCAGCACUUUGGGAGGCCGAGGCAGGUGGAUCACGAGGUCAAGAGAUCGAGACCAUCCUGGUCAACAUGGUGAAACCCCGUCUCUACUAAAAAUACAAAAAAUUAGCUGGGCAUGGUGGCGCCUGCCUGUAAUCCCAGCUACUCAGGAGGCUGAGGCAGGAGAAUUGGUUGAACCCAGGAGGCGGAGGUUGCGGUGACCCGAGAUCAUGCCAUUGUACUCCAGCCUGGGUAACAAGAGCGAAACUCCGUCUCAAAAAAAAAAAAAGAAAAAAAAGAAAUGUAACCCCACUGCAGCACCACAGUAUACUCUAGAAAAGUGGGUUCUGAGUGGAUAGAUCUCUGAAGAACUUCACAGGCUACUGUGGUAAAAUAGUGGCAAGAUAGGCUGUUCUGAAAAGACAUGAGGAAAAAGGAGGUGCUGCAGCAUUUGCAGAUGGCAAGAGCUUACAAAAAAUCUAUAAACCAACUCCAGGCUGGAGAAAAAGAACAUUUCACAGGCAACAACUGAUGGCUUAGGAGUGAAAAAGAGGGUAUCAAAAAAUGAUCACCGGCCAAACUAAUAAACAAUGAAAUGUUUUCAUUAUUGAUAAUCCAAAGACGCACUCACUGGGAGUUUAAAAAAAAAUUCUAAGGGUAAGAAUACAUUAAUGCUAUAAGCUUCAUUUAAAGCAUCAUAAACCCUUGUCAGAAACUCUCAUCUUUGAUAUAGAUCAAAUCCAAGUAAAUCUCGUUUCCCAUAAAUCCAAGCCCCACACUUUCCAUAAAAUUAAGACACACGCCUUUAUUAAACUUCUCUCGUUCUUCCAUUAGAAGAGAGACUCAAGCAAUGUAGGGAAUUUCUCCAGGGAACACAGAACAGUGUAUACAAUGUAUCUGUGUAAUAGGGGGAAAAUAAAAAUAUACAUCCACAUUUUCUGUAUCUGCAAAAAUGAUAUAGAAUAAAAACUGGUUUCAUGUGUAUGUGUAGAGGAAUAUGCAGCUGGAAUACAGGGUUUUUCACUGUCUAACAUUUUAUAUUUUUGAUUCACAUAUAAUGUUCAAAAAAUUUUAAUAAAAACAUCAAAUUUGCCGAGAACCAAA